rnacentral:lncRNA from 1 species
UGAGUGAUGAAUAUGGAUAGUUGUUAGAGAAUAACUAGUACUGAGCGUGAUCAUACGAGAGAUCACUUGAAUUUCUACUCAAUCAUCAGUGAUCAUCUUGAUGCUGUAGUUGUAUAAAUGAUCUUUUGACUUGCAAUGGUAUGAUUGCUUGUAGUAAGACUGCUGGAGUUUGACUGACAUAUAAACAUGGCCUCGAUGAGACUUUAUAGUCGAUGUUGGCGACAGUUGGUCCACUGU